rnacentral:rRNA from 1 species
UACGUAGGGUGCGAGCGUUGUUCGGAGUUAUUGGGCGUAAAGGGCGUGUAGGCGGCUUGAGAAGUCUGAUUUGAAAUGCACUGGCUCAACUGGUGCGCUGGGUCAGAAACUGGCAGGCUAGAGUUCAUAGGGAGGAACUGGAAUUCCAGGUGUAGGGGUGAAAUCUGUAGAGAUCUGGAAGAACACCGGUAGCGAAGGCGGGUUCCUAUGGAUGGACUGACGCUGAGGCGCGAAAGCGUGGGGAGCGAAC